rnacentral:rRNA from 1 species
AUUGAACGCUGGCGGCAUGCCUAACACAUGCAAGUCGAGCGGCAGCGCGGGGCAACCUGGCGGCGAGCGGCGGACGGGUGAGGAAUACAUCGGAAUUUACCCUUUUGUGGGGGAUAACUCAGGGAAACUUGAGCUAAUACCGCAUGAACUCGAGAGAGCAAAGCUGGGGACCUUCGGGCCUGGCGCAGGAGGAUGAGCUGAUGUCGGAUUAGCUAGUUGGUAGGGUAAAGGCCUACCAAGGCGACGAUCCGUAGCUGGUCUGAGAGGAUGAUCAGCCACACUGGAACUGAGACACGGUCCAGACUCCUGCGGGAGGCAGCAGUGGGGAAUAUUGGACAAUGGGGGCAACCCUGAUCCAGCAAUGCCGCGUGUGUGAAGAAGGCCUGCGGGUUGUAAAGCACUUUUGUUCGAGAAGAAAUCGUGUGUAUGAAUAGUGCAUAUGGAUGACGGUAUCGAAAGAAUAAGC